rnacentral:rRNA from 1 species
AGCGAACGCUGGCGGCAGGCUUAACACAUGCAAGUCGAGCGGGCCUUUCGGGGUCAGCGGCAGACGGGUGAGUAACGCGUGGGAACGUACCUUCUGGUCUGGAAUAACCCUGGGAAACUAGGUCUAAUACCGGAUACGCUCUUUUGGGGAAAGGUUUACUGCCGGAAGAUCGGCCCGCGUCUGAUUAGCUAGUUGGUGGAGUAACGGCCUACCAAGGCGACGAUCAGUAGCUGGUCUGAGAGGAUGAUCAGCCACACUGGGACUGAGACACGGCCCAGACUCCUACGGGAGGCAGCAGUGGGGAAUAUUGGACAAUGGGCGCAAGCCUGAUCCAGCCAUGCCGCGUGAGUGAUGAAGGCCUUAGGGUUGUAAAGCUCUUUUAUCCGGGACGAUAAUGACGGUACCGGAGGAAUAAGCCCCGGCUAACUUCGUGCCAGCCGCCGCCGUAA